AGUUACGCCAUUUUCUUUAAAAGUUGCUACAAAAAUCGGAUUUAUUUCAUUGAACAUUGGAUGAAAAAAAAACUUACCAAUUUAUUUGAUAACACCAAUCUACAUUAUUUUGAUAAGAGUAAAGUCAUGUGUAGCCUGCAAGAAGUCAGAUCCACUUAAACCAGCGCAGAGACCUGAGCUGCAGCAAAUAAAGGUGUUAAGUCCUUUUGAACUGGUUAGAGUUGACCUGAUAGGAUCUUUCACAGCCACUAGUCAAGGUUGUCUUUACAUCCUCACUGCAACAGACUAUUACACAAAGUGGGUUGAGGCAUUUCUUAUUCCAUCAAAGCAGGCCUCAGAUGUUGCUAAGUGCUUCCAAAAGCUUUUUCUAGACGUGGAGCUGUGAAUGCUGCCCUCACUGACCAGAGAAAGCUUUUCCUAGACGUGGUGCUGUGAAUGCUGUUCUCACUGAC